AGUGGUAAAAUUUUCACUUACAAUGAAGAGCACCCGUUGGGCAUUCUUUUAAAGAUAGUUAGUAAUUAA
rnacentral:tRNA from 1 species